UAGGUAACGUGUAGGCGAUGC
rnacentral:piRNA from 1 species